GGAUGAUGCUGUGUAGGGGUAGCUCCUCUAGCCAAGCAUUGGAAGGGAUGUCAGCCUGCUACAGACCCUUCUCUUGUAUGGGUGCUGCUGGCAACUUUAUAAGAAGGGUUUCCCUGUUCUUGCCUUUGCAAAUGCUUGUGUAAAUGCCAUGGGAUAGCCCUGGGAUAACCUUUCCCACUACAAAUCCUUUCUCUGUAUUUGAUGAAGCCCUGGUUUGGUCUAAAUUACCCCUUUCAUCCUGCAGCCACACGAGGAGGUCACUAUCUAUGUCUUGACUUGUUUGCUGAGCCAUCUUCAGUGUCCCAGCAACACCUGGCUAGAGCUGCUGUCAUGGUCUGGAAUGCAUCCACUCCAGGACAACUGCUCCAAGCCCAGGAUUCCAAGAGAACUGUGGUUAUCCAGCAUGGAUGCACUGCUGGAUCCAUGACUGAGAAAUGCUCUGGAGUUGUGUCCCAUGGAUCAACGCAGGCUGUUAUUUCAGAGGCAGAGAAAUCCUCAGCCUUGCAGAUGAAAUGUAGGCUCCAUGGAGGAAAUGCAGUGAGUGGCUACAUCUGGCUAAAUAUCCAUGUGGAGAAAUGGUGUCAUUACCACCUCAGCACUGCUGUCAGAGCUCUGAGGUCUCCUAUACCCUCUACCCUAAAACAUUAACCUACCCUGGCAGAUAUUAUGAUUUUCUCAGUAUACUGGCAUCUUACUUAGGCCACAUUAAGUUUCUAUGUCUG
rnacentral:lncRNA from 1 species